rnacentral:rRNA from 1 species
UUUGGGAUUAGCAUCCUGUCACCAGGUAGCCGCCUUCUGUACCCCCCAUUGUAACACGUGUGUAGCCCCGGACGUAAGGGCCGUGCUGAUUUGACGUCAUCCCCACCUUCCUCACAUCUUACGACGGCAGUCUCUCUAGAGUCCUCAGCAUAACCUGUUAGUAACUAAAGAUAAGGGUUGCGCUCGUUAUGGCACUUAAGCCGACACCUCACGGCACGAGCUGACGACAACCAUGCAGCACCUUCACAACAGCCUUACGGCUAUACUGUUUCCAAUAUAUUCUGUUGCAAUUUAAGCCCGGGUAAGGUUCCUCGCGUAUCAUCGAAUUAAACCACAUGUUCCUCCGCUUGUGCGGGCCCCCGUCAAUUCCUUUGAGUUUCACCGUUGCCGGCGUACUCCCCAGGUGGAAUACUUAAUGCUUUCGCUUGGCCGCUUACUGUAUAUCGCAAACAGCGAGUAUUCAUCGUUUACUGUGUGGACUACCAGGGUAUCUAAUCCUGUUUGAUACCCACACUUUCGAGCAUCAGUGUCAGURACAGUCUAGUGAGCUGCCUUCGCAAUCGGAGUUCUUCGUGAUAUCUAAGCAUUUCACCGCUACACCACGAAUUCCGCCCACCUCUACUGUACUCAAGACUGCCAGUUUCAACUGCAAUUUUACGGUUGAGCCGCAAACUUUCACAACUGACUUAACAAUCCACCUACGCUCCCUUUAAACCCAAUAAAUCCGGAUAACGCUCGGAUCCUCCGUAUUACCGCGGCUGCUGGCACGGAGUUAGCCGAUCCUUAUUCAUAUGGUACAUACAAAAUUCCACACGUGGAAAACUUUAUUCCCAUAUAAAAGAAGUUUACGACCCAUAGAGCCUUCAUCCUUCACGCUACUUGGCUGGUUCAGGCUCUCGCCCAUUGACCAAUAUUCCUCACUGCUGCCUCCCGUAGGAGUUUGGACCGUGUCUCAGUUCCAAUGUGGGGGACCUUCCUCUCAGAACCCCUAUCCAUCGUAGUCUUGGUGGGCCGUUACCCCGCCAACAAACUAAUGGAACGCAUCCCCAUCGAUAACCGAAAUUCUUUAAUAAAAAUAUCAUGCGAUAUUCGUAUNCNAUCCGGUAUUAAUCUUUCUUUCGAAAGGCUAUUCCNG